rnacentral:rRNA from 1 species
GUGAACGCUGGCGGUAGGCCUAACACAUGCCAGUCGCACGGCAGCACAGUAAGAGCUUGCUCUUACGGGUGGCGAGUGGCGGACGGGUGAGGAAUACAUCGGAAUCUACUUUUUCGUGGGGGAUAACGUAGGGAAACUUACGCUAAUACCGCAUACGACCUACGGGUGAAAGCAGGGGAUCUUCGGACCUUGGCCGGUUGAAUGAGCCGAUGUCGGAUUAGCUAGUUGGCGGGGUAAAGGCCCACCAAGGCGACGAUCCGUAGCUGGUCUGAGAGGAUGAUCAGCCACACUGGAACUGAGACACGGUCCAGACUCCUACGGGAGGCAGCAGUGGGGAAUAUUGGACAAUGGGCGCAAGCCUGAUCCAGCCAUACCGCGUGGGUGAAGAAGGCCUUCGGGUUGUAAAGCCCUUUUGUUGGGAAAGAAAAGCAGCAGGUUAAUACCCCGCUGUUCUGACGGUACCCAAAGAAUAAGCACCGGCUAACUUCGUG